UUAAGAAUCUUGGACAAUGGACGAAAGUCUGAUCCAGCGACGCCGCGUGAAUGAUGAAGGUUUUCGGAUUGUAAAGUUCAGUAAGCAGGGAAGAAUAAAUGACGGUACCUGCCUAAAGCAUCGGCUAAAUACGUGCCAGCAGCCGCGGUAAUACGUAUGAUGCAAGCGUUGUUCGGAAUUAUUGGGCGUAAAGGGCAUUCAGGCGGGAUAUUAAGUCGGGUGUGAAAUCUGGAGGCUCAACCUCCAAACUGCAUUCGAAACUGGUAUUCUUGAGUCAGGGAGAGGAAGGCGGAAUUCCCAGUGUAGCGGUGAAAUGCGUAGAUAUUGGGAAGAACACCGGUGGCGAAGGCGGCCUUCUGGCCUAUGACUGACGCUGAAGUGCGAAAGUGUGGGGAUCAAACG
rnacentral:rRNA from 1 species